CUGGGCUUUUGUCCAUCAACACAAUGCGGCUUCCGUAUGUGAACUGAUUAAAAAAAAGUUUGAAUGAAUGUCAUUAAAAGGGCAAUUACUGGAUUAAAGGCAGAAUUCCGUGAAGUAAAAGAAGAACAAGUUAAAAGUGGCAGGAUGCAGUGUGGAAUGUGCACACCUUGGAUCAUGACAGAGAGAGAGAAGGAAGGAAGGGAGGGAAAGAGGAAGUGAAGCACAUCCGCCACAUACAUCUGGGCUGAGGGGGAUCCUCUUCCUUGGCUGCUGGUCUACAUAUGGAAAGGACCAGGAUGCUCACUGACGAAUCACAAUGCAGUUUUGGUCUAAUAAAAUUGGUAUGAUUCUGACUUUGCAGGUGGGACAUAUUGUUCAUCUUUCAUUUAAUCUAAAUGAUAAAUCAAUAGCUAGCAUGAAAUAACAAAUAACAAUAUGGUUAAUAUGGUUAAGGUUAAUUUCUUCAUAUACAUUGACAUUUCAAGUUAUAAAUUAAAGUGCCCCUAUUAUGCCAUUUUAAGGUUCCUAAUAUUGUUUUGGGAGUGUCCUCCAAUAGGUUUACAUGCACGCAAGGCCAAAAACUGCUCUCGUUUUCUCAAAAUAUGCAUUUAAUAUCACCUCGUUUUCCAAAGAUUCUCGAAAGAUUUGUUCGAAGCAGUUUUAAGAUUCAGUCUUUCUAAGCCCCUCCUUUCCAUGAGCCUGCUCUGCUCUGAUUGGUCAGAUGGCCCAGUCUGUUGUGAUUGGACUACAGCGCGUGUUGGAAACGAACUGUCCAUUGCCAUAGCUCCAUAUUUUGAAUGUUCGAUAAAAAAACAGAUAUAAUAGAUAUAAACAUCUAUUAUUUAUCAUACUUACAGGUUGUGAUUUUAGUGGCGCCAGCUGGUCCAAAUAAACUGGACACUGAUUCAUCUUUCAAGAGCAAGCGUUUUGUGAAUCCUGCAUUGAACUCCCUGAGAUUAGAGAAGCAGUUGUCAGUAAAAUGAUGGGAACACAAAAAAGAUUGGGGUUGUACUGUUGUGGUUCAGUGUAAAAAAUAUAUAUUUUAACCACUGAUUCUUUUGCAGCCUAAUGCAUUUUCACCUUUACAACUUUGCAGAUCAUUUACAUUCACAUACAGCUACAUUACACACUGCAUGAAAGGCAAUACUGGAAAUGGCAUAAUAGGGGCACUUUAACAAAUGAAUAGUAAAUGUAUUAUGAAUGAACAGG
ensembl:lncRNA